rnacentral:sRNA from 1 species
AUGAGCCUUUGGAGGAACUAGUAACUGGUAAAAUACAUCUCUGGAAGCAUUUUAAGCAAGUGCCCCCUCUAGGUAGAUAGUGACCUACUGUGGAGUGGAGAGAACCCCCUCACAGGCACAUGUGCCCCCUGAGAGGGCCUUUGUGCAGUACACAACUUCACAACGGUAUAUAAUGACCCUAGAUAGAUGACCAGCAGUGACAGUGAUACCCAUUGCUGCACAUCUCUAUUAAUCUCUGUGGUCCCCUCCUCUCUUCCCCAGGCCUCUCUGCUGAUGGUGGUGCCAAGCGCCAGGAGCACCUAUCCCGAUUUUCCAUGCCUGACCUCAGCAAAGACUCUGGAAUGAAUGUGUCUGAGAAGCUGAGCAACAUGGGCACUCUUAACUCGUCCAUGCAGUUCCGGAGCGCAGAGUCAGUUCGCAGCCUGCUCUCUGCCCAGCAGUACCAGGAGAUGGAGGGAAACCUCCACCAGCUCAGCAACCCCAUUGGCUACAGAGACCUGCAGUCCCACGGAAGGAUGCAUCAGAGCUUUGAUUUUGAUGGAGGGAUGGCGGGCAGCAAGCUGCCAGGGCAGGAGGGCGUGAGGAUCCAGCCCAUGAGCGAACGCACCCGGAGAAGAGCUACUUCACGCGACGACAACCGCCGUUUCCGACCUCACAGGUCCAGGCGUUCCCGACGCUCUCGCUCCGACAACGCCCUCCACCUGGCCAGCGAACGCGAGGCCAUCUCCCGGUUAAAAGAUAGGCCCCCUCUGAGAGCCAGGGAGGACUAUGACCAAUUUAUGCGCCAGCGGAGCUUCCAGGAGAGCAUGGGGCAUGGGUCCCGGAGGGACCUGUACGGCCAGUGCCCUAGGACUGUGUCGGACCUGGCUUUGCAGAAUGCCUUUGGGGACCGCUGGGGACCCUACUUCGCCGAGUAUGAUUGGUGUUCCACCUGCUCCUCCUCUUCAGAGUCUGACAACGAGGGCUAUUUCCUAGGAGAACCCAUCCCCCAGCCAGCGCGCCUGCGAUACGUCACAAGCGAUGAGCUGCUGCACAAAUACAGCUCCUACGGCCUCCCCAAAUCUUCCACAUUAGGUGGCAGAGGACAGUUGCACAGCAGGAAAAGACAGAAGAGCAAAAACUGUAUCAUUUCUUAAUAUGAUUGGGAUCAGGGAAUGGGAGAAGAUGGGAGCUAAGAAUGUAAAGUCAGAAACUUGCACUGUUUUAAAGGUUAAAGCGCUUUUGGGGGUGGCUUAUGGGGGAGAAAAGGGAAAAUGCUGUCAGUAGAUGGAGGCAAGGUUACAGAUUGACUCAAUAGGUAGUCACAGUUCUUGGCAUGUUGAAUAUUAUUUGCACAUUUCACUUUGGAAACACAGUAGACUCUAUCGAGGCCAGGGUUGGUCACUUCCUUCCCAUCAGUUCUGUGUUAAGUUGCCAUCUCUCAAGAUGGUAAAUUGUUUCCUGCUCGCUUUUAUCCUCUCUGGUUCUCUUACUUUUAGGACCCUUUUUUCAGUAAGUAAUUUGUUUAUUAGCCAGGACCCAAGACUAAGUUAUUUACAUGUCCAUUGUAAAUGCAAUGUAAAUGAGAGUUCUGAUAAAAUAUUUUUGUAUUUUGUAAUAUCAAAGGAAUUUCUAUAUCGUAGGACUCAGUGGGGACUUGCAUGCACAUCCACCAUUGUCUCUGAGUAGUAUUGAAAUGUGGCCCGGUACCACCUUUUUUUUUUUUUUUUUCUAUACAAAUUUGUUACAUGUCAGUGAGACCUUUUUCAAAGGAACAUAUUCAAUUUGGCUUUUUGUGGCUGAAAAAACGUAACUAUUAGACCCAAAGCAUUUUAUGCUCCGUUCCAUCUUAAGGAGCCAUCCUUAAGUCUGCUCCCACCCUCAGUAGAAUUUAUUUUCUACAAAGUGGUAGUAAUUUUUUUUAAAUUGCAAAUGUAAUUUUUGCCAAUUAGAGAAACCAACCGGUGUCAGUAAAAUUCUGUGAGAAAUGCCAUCCCUGCUGGGAAUGUUGAAGUUACUUAAUGUUGAUCUAUCCCUUGGGGAAAGUAAAAGUGACUGUGAGUGGUGCCGUUGUGUGAUGUCAGCAUGACGUUGUUUUGAAUGUGGCAUUAUGUUCUGGUGCUCAUGUUUCCUGGAUUGUAUUAUCUGCUUUCCUUUACCAAGGCAGACAGAACUGCUGCCUUAGCCUGACAACCGGUUGUCCUCAAAGCAAAUGAACUUAAGCAUUUGGGAUUGAGGGACAGAAGGAUUCUGAGGGGGCUCUGCGAGGGACGGUGUGUGACAUGUCAUGCCUGGAGAAGGAACAAGGCUAUUUGAAACCAGAAGGCAGGUCAAGGGUAGAAGAUAAAGGAGAAUCUGAAGGCAGGUCAGGGAAAAGAAGAACUGGAAAUGAAACAGAGGACAGGUGACAACCACCUCGAAGAGCUCCCAGAGAUUGUAGAAAGAGUCCAGUGUAACCAGCUUAGUAACCAGAGUAUCUGGAUUACCCAGGAAGGUUGAGCUGCUGAGAUUUCAGUGGUGCAAUGUCUUUAAAAAAACAGGCUUUGUUGGGAGGGUAUUUCCAUUUUGAACUUUGAGGACUGUUGGUCAGAAAAUGGGCUCAAAAGUGAGUUUGCUUAAUGAAGACAUUUAACGGUUGUGCUGUUUAUAGUAAAAUAAAACUCCCUACCUUGCUUCAGUUAAAAAUGAAGCACUUGGUUUCUUCCAUCCUCCUCCUCCCCUUAAUGGAUUGUGGCAGUUGAAAUAAUCCAUCGGAGGACCCACCUGUAGUGAGAUGUACUGUCGAUGUAGUGCCCGGUGUAUCUCAGUGGCCAUCUGCCAUGGUGAGGUGAGCGUGAUCUCUUUUCAGUAUAGUAGUUAACAUUUUCUAGUAUUUUUUAUGGAGAGAAUGUCAAAAGUGGCAUUUCAGACCCCGUCCCAGAUGGGUCUGAGGAAAGGAAGGCUGUAAAGGACAUGGUAAUGGCACUCCAUUCGGGAUGUAUUAAAAUAAUUUGCUUUUCAGGUAUUAAUAUGACAUUUGUCAUUGUCACUGAUUUUUUUAAAAAAGCAAUGCACAUGUUGGUUGUGGCUGUUUUCCGCAUGCUAUCUUCAUAUCUAAAUGCUUCAUUAAUUAUCCGAGCCUCCGGAGAAUUAACUCUAUUACGUUUGUAUAGUAAGUUUGUAAACUGCUUGGCAAACUGAUUAAGAAAUAAUUUGCAAUACCGUGCUACUAAAGUGGCAGGUUUCUGGUAGAAAUUGUGCGAGUCCAAUUUGGAGUUUUAAGUUCCUUGAUUGAUGAAACUAAAAAGGCAAUUUUGGAAAAAGAGAGGGGGAAAAGUAGAUCACUUAUCUUAGCAAACGGUUGAAAAUAUGUCUGUCCUCUGUGGCCCCAAAUCCAGUGAAAGAAAUUCUCCCAGUAAAAGUUGCUUCCUAACUCUGUUUUUCUCAGAAUACCUCUUACCUUUCUCAAAGAAAGCUUCAACCACCAUCAGCAGAAAGAAGGUGGCCUAAAAACUGACACAUGGCCAGUGCCCAGAGGGGUCUGGAGGCAUAAGUCUAGAUGCCCAGAGAGCAUCCAGGCACUGAACUGCUCAGAGCUUGAGAUGAAAUGACAUACAAGCUUCAGGGUAAAACUGUCUACUAGCAAGAUGACCUCCCUCUAUUCUACCAUUGCAGAUUUCUUCUGACCCCAAAUGCAACCUUACAGAGAAUGCUGAAUGAGGAAGGCCAAUUCCUUACAAUGAUGGCAGAACCUCCAAGCGAAUGCCCUAUUGAGGAGAAGGACAUCAUUGUAUUUGGAAUUCUGCCUGCUAGUGAUAGCUCACACAUCACAUCCCAGAAUCCCACUCCCAAUGCAUUCUUUCCUGAGGCAAGAACUUAAGGUCCUCACCUAAUUCCUCCAUCACAACCAUGAACUCUUAUUGGACAAGCUCCUCCUGUGAGUGGGGCCUGUACUCACUUCCUCUUAGAUCAUAAUUCCAUCUUCAACAGACUGAUUUCCAGAAUAGUAAUCUUUUUCCAGUGUUCUCUCUUCUCCAAUGCCCUGGUUGUUAUUUUUCCCACCUCUCCUAGUAUUGAUCUUCUUGUCUUUUGGUUAGAACUGCAACUUCGGAGUUGAGUUCAUUUCCUAUUGCUGCUCAAUUCAGUAGCAACAUAGCUGGCUUGUUCCCAGACCCAGGAAGUAUAAGUCAUUGACAGUUUCCCGAGUGGCUCUGCCAAUCCAUACCACCCUUGGUACUGUGAAAAGGCUUCUUGGCAGCCAGGUGGCAUUGAGGAUGGUAUUCAGGGCGCUUUCCUUCUGUCAUAUAGUUGUGGGAUCUCUACCAAGUGUGAAGGUGAAUGAGGUAAGGGAGAUCAGAACCAUGCUUCCUGGUUUUUCAUACGUCCAAGGAAGAAGUCCUGGUGUGGGUUGUUUGACACCUUCUUUCCACUUUCACCUUUUAUUUUUUAUUCCUUCCUUUCUACGCCCGACCAGUCGAGCAA